rnacentral:rRNA from 1 species
UGGGGAAUAUUGGGCAAUGGGCGAAAGCCUGACCCAGCAACGCCGCGUGAGGGAAGAAGGCUUUCGGGUCGUAAACCUCUGUCGCAGGGGACGAGUAGAAGACGGUACCCUGUGAGGAAGCCCCGGCUAACUACGUGCCAGCAGCCGCGGUAAUACGUAGGGGGCGAGCGUUGUCCGGAAUGACUGGGCGUAAAGGGCGCGUAGGCGGCCUGAUAAGUCUGGAGUGAAAGUCCCGCUUUCAAGGUGGGAAUUGCUUUGGAGACUGUUAGGCUUGAGUAUGGGAGAGGAUAGCGGAAUUCCCGGUGUAGCGGUGAAAUGCGUAGAGAUCGGGAGGAACACCAGUGGCGAAGGCGGCUAUCUGGACCAAAACUGACGCUGAGGCGCGAAAGCGUGGGGAGCAAACA